AUAAGGUCGAUUAACUCGAUCCUCAACAAUACCACAAAAGAAGAGGCGGAAACCAAGCCUGGGAAAAGAUCAUUGUCUACUCCUGAUUCACUGUGGGAGUCAAUCCAUUUGAUCAGAGAGGACGUCUUUAGGUACAGCGUACACGGUGGCCAGGGACAAAAGCAGGCUCUUCAGCAGUCUCUCUCCUCUG